CUAUGCGCCUUGCCAGCCCGCUCAGAAACUCAAAGGAUUGACGGGGGCCCGCACAAGCGGAGGAGCAUGUGGUUUAAUUCGAUGAUACGCGAGGAACCUUACCUGGGCUUAAAUGCUUAAUGACGUACUGGGAAACUGGUAUUUCUUCGGACAUUUUGCAAGGUGCUGCAUGGUUGUCGUCAGCUCGUGCCGUGAGGUGUCGGGUUAAGUCCCAUAACGAGCGCAACCCCUAUUGUUAGUUGCCAUCAGGUCAUGCUGGGGACUCUAACAAAACUGCCCGCGUAAGCGUGGAGGAAGGUGGGGAUGACGUCAAAUCAGCACGGCCCUUACGUCCAGGGCUACACACGUGCUACAAUGGCCGGUACAGAGGGCAGCCACUUGGUGACAAGGAGCAAAUCUCAAAAGCCGGUCUCAGUUCGGAUCGGAGUCUGCAACUCGACUCCGUGAAGUUGGAUUCGCUAGUAAUCGUAGAUCAGCAAUGCUACGGUGAAUACGUUCCCGGGCCUU
rnacentral:rRNA from 1 species